rnacentral:rRNA from 1 species
UACGUAGGGCGCGAGCGUUGUCCGGAAUUAUUGGGCGUAAAGAGCUCGUAGGCGGUUUGUCGCGUCUGCUGUGAAAUCCCGAGGCUCAACCUCGGGCUUGCAGUGGGUACGGGCAGACUAGAGUGCGGUAGGGGAGACUGGAACUCCUGGUGUAGCGGUGGAAUGCGCAGAUAUCAGGAAGAACACCGAUGGCGAAGGCAGGUCUCUGGGCCGUUACUGACGCUGAGGAGCGAAAGCAUGGGGAGCGAAC